CACGUAGGGGGCGAGCGUUGUCCGGAUUUAUUGGGCGUAAAGAGCUCGUAGGCGGCUCGGUAAGUCGGGUGUGAAACCUCCAGGCUCAACCUGGAGACGCCACCUGAUACUGCUGUGGCUAGAGUCCGGUAGGGGAGUGUGGAACUCCUGGUGUAGCGGUGAAAUGUGCAGAUAUCAGGAAGAACACCAGCGGCGAAGGCGGCACUCUGGGCCGGAACUGACGCUGAGGAGCGAAAGCGUGGGGAGCAAACAGG
rnacentral:rRNA from 1 species